AAUUGUUGAGAAUUAGUUCUCUUCCCUAAGGAUUAGUUCCCUGUUUCUUGUUGUUCUACAUCACUAAGCUUCUAUUAUGCAGCUAAACUCACAUGCUUCACACAAUGAGAAUGAACAAGAGAAACUUGCCCCAAUAAAAUUGGAUGGUACAGAAACUUGAACAGAACAAAACAACAACUGAAAACCUUGAGCAAAGUAUGAUCUAGCAUAAAUAAUAAAGUGCAUUACGUGGCCAACCCAAAUAUGAUUGGGUCACACUAAAAUCUUCAUUUAUAAGCUCUCAUUCUCCAUGCACAUCCUCAGCUAGCCAUGGAGACAUCCAUAAUGUUAAAGAAUGCUAGCUUCAUUCUUACAACUCUCUGUAUUUUAUGGAUACCUGCAUUGGCCUCAGAAAUCCAUCAUCAGCCAAAAUAUAACUCCAAUGCCAUGAGGAGGAGGUAUAAUAAAUGGAUGGCAAAACAUGGCAUAAAAUACAAGAGCAGAGAAGAAUAUUUAUUGCGGUUUGGAAUAUACAUGUCCAAUGUUCAGUUCAUCGACUACUUUAAUUCUCGGAACUUAUCAUAUAAGCUCACUGAUAACCAAUUCGCAGACAUGGGCAAUGAUGAGUUUAAAUCUAUCUACUUAGGUUAUACUACUGAUGGAAGAAAGAAGCCCAAUCUCAAGUACCUUAAUUACACAGAUUUGCCAACUGCAGUAGAUUGGAGAAAGAAAGGAGCUGUAACCCCAAUUAAGGAUCAAGGCAAAUGUGGUAUCAUUCUUUCUUCUCUUUUUUCUUCAUUUUUUUUUUUUCUUUUCCUGAGAAAUUUAGGGUCUGAGUGCACUUUUUAAGGGAUGAAGGCCAAUGGGGUAUGAGAAAAUUUGAUCACUGCCAGCAUUUUUAUUUACAUCCUAAAUUACAUGUUUUCUGAGAAUCUUGAUGCAGCUUGACAAACAAAUGUGACAAACUAUCAGUCUAUCACAAUAGGGGUUGAGAAAAACAGCCUACUUCUUGGACAAAAUUGUUCUUUAUUUGGGAAAAUUCAUACAAACAAAAUAGAAAGCCUGAUGUAGGUCACAAGGAUUAUUAUAUUCUUUCAAAAAGCUCAUAUUCUGACAAGCUCUUAAGUACCACUAGGACAUCUAAUUGCUAACUCUGAAAUAGUUUUUCCAUAUCGUAUAUAUAAUUAAUAGUUAGGUUAAUUGACUGUACACAUACUUAUAUCUUGUUUUUCCUAAGUUACAUGAGAUGAUCAAAAGUUACUUUCCUGUAAUACAGGAAGUUGUUGGGCAUUCUCUGCAGUGGCAGCUAUAGAAGGCAUUAACAAAAUUAAGACAGGAAAACUAGUAUCUCUAUCAGAACAAGAACUUGUAGACUGUGAUGUUGACAAGGAUAACCAGGGCUGUAGUGGUGGAUACAUGGAAAAAGCAUUUGCAUUCGUCAACAAGAUUGGGGGACUCACCACUGAAAAUAAUUAUCCUUACAAUGGGAAAGAUAACCCCUGUGAAAAAGAAAAAAUCAAAGAUUAUGCAGUGACAAUUAGUGGCUACAAAACAGUACCUGCCAAUAGUGAGAAAAGCCUACAAGCUGCAGUUGGCAAUCAACCUGUAUCUGUUGCAAUUGAUGCAGCUGGUUAUGAAUUUCAACUUUACUCCGGAGGUAUCUUCAGCGGCUUCUGUGGUGUCAUACUCAACCAUGGAGUCACAGCAGUUGGCUAUGGCGAAAUUGGUGAUGAAAAAUACUGGCUUGUGAAAAAUUCAUGGGGCAAAGACUGGGGUGAGGAUGGCUACAUAAGGAUGAAGCGUGAUUCUGGUAAUGAGAAAGGUAUCUGUGGCAUUGCCAUGGAAGCUAGCUACCCCAUCAAGAAUUGAGCAGCCUUUUGGGUGUAGUGGGCUGACCGAUCCUGGUUUUACGAUGGCGUAACUAGGUGCCUUUCAGAUAGUAAUUACAUAGAGAUUGAAGUAAAAGAUGUUCCUGGAGAUUUUAAGUAAAUAAUAUUGACAUUUACAGAAUGCAUGCUAGGGAAAAAUUGUGCCCAAAGCAUAAGAAUAUGGGAAAUAGCAAUCCCUUGUAUCACAGUGAUAUUACAAUAUAAUCACCAGGAGAUCAUAGUUCUUGGUACACAAUUCUUACUUUCUGAUAAUUUCCUCCAUCUUCUAUCCAUUUGGCAAAGCCCAUAAAAGAAUUUCUGGCAUAACAAUCAUGAGUCUUUCAAGCAAAAGGUGCUAAAUCUUAUGGUAGUAGAACGACUGCCACGUACAAAAGCUUAAAGCUUAUUAUAUUUUGUUUGGGUUCUGGAGUGGGAAUGAGACUUCCAAACAUGAAGGUAUACUUAGGGUUUAAAUGUAUCAGAUAUAAAUAAUUCUCAAGAGCUAUUAAUCGCAACAAAUAUUUCAUGGUAUUGCCAUGAUCAGCUUCAAUUGAUUAUUAAAUAGAACAAAACACAAAAAG
rnacentral:misc_RNA from 1 species